GAUGAACGCUGGCGGCGUGCCUAAUACAUGCAAGUCGAGCGAACGGACGAGAAGCUUGCUUCUCUGAUGUUAGCGGCGGACGGGUGAGUAACACGUGGAUAACCUACCUAUAAUACUGGGAUAACUUCGGGAAACCGUAGCUAAUACCGGAUAAUAUUUUGAACCGCAUGGUUCAAAAGUUAAAUACGGUCUUGCUGUCACUUAUAGAUGGAUCCGCGCUGCAUUAGCUAGUUGGUAAGGUAACGGCUUACCAAGGCAACGAUGCAUAGCCGACCUGAGAGGGUGAUCGGCCACACGGGAACUGAGACACGGUCCAGACACCUACGGGAGGCAGCAGUAGGGAAUCUUCCGCAAUGGGCGUAAGCAUGACGGAGCAACGCCGCGUGAGUGAUGAAGGUCUUCGGAUCGUAAAACUCUGUUAUUAGGGAAGAACAUAUGUGUAAGUAACUGUGCACAUCUUGACGGUACCUAAUCAGAAAGCCACGGCUAACUACGUG
rnacentral:rRNA from 1 species